rnacentral:pre_miRNA from 1 species
GAUUGACAGGUGUGAGCGAUGUUUGUACUGUCUGUCUGUUCACAGCACCACAACAGACAACAGCACAGACAUUUGUUCACGCCUGUUGUG